CACGUGGGAGCGGUGAUGGCAUUUGGAAGCAGGGAUAUUUGGAGGCGGUGAUGCUGGGAGUGGGGAUAUUUGGAAGCGGGGCAUGUUUGGAAGAGGGGAUGUUCGGAAGCGGGGAUAUUUCCACGCCUGCCGGCAAUGCCCCCGGCCCGGCCCGGUGCUAAGUCCCAGCGCAGGGCAGGCAGGGGCUGGGUUGGAUCCAUCCUUCAAGAGCUCGCUGAUGGUCCCGGGUGCCCGGAGGUUCGCCAGGUGCCUGGAGGGCGUGUGGAACAUGCCAGGGAACAAAUAAAUGGUGGAGUCAAAAGCUCCUGAUGAGGGUCGGAUGUGAAGCGGUGCCAGGCGCACUCAGCAGCCGCUCUGCAGCCACGGCUGUGUCAGCACCGAGCUUGCCACCAUCACCCUCGGCUCUGCACAGCCAGGACCGUGGGAUGGCAGGGAACACGGCAGGAAAAUGCCAUGGGAAGAGCAGGCUGGGGGCUGAGCUCCUCUCCCUCUCUCUGCCUGCACUCACAGGGUGAAUGUGAGCGCUCAUGCCCACGGCAGGCUCCGAGCCCCGCAGCAGCGCCCAGGCACCGCGGGGUGACCUGCAAACCAACCCACUGCCUUUAAUUCGGGAUUUAUGGCUGCUACUGAUCCUAAGCUAACCUUUUGUCAUUAUAGCGCCUGAAUGCAACUGUGGGGAUUAAUAAACGGGAAAAGUCGAGACCUUAACUGUCAGGAGUAUAGUGGAUGUGGCCGGCACUAAAACCAACAGCCAUAAAGCAUGGAGGAGCUCUCUCCACCUGGAGGAAAAGCUCUUUCCUGCUGGAUAGGGUUAACAGCAAGCAGCCACAGAGCCAAGGGACACGGCCGUGGCUCCAGGCUCCAGUGCCUGCCUUGCAGGAGCCCAAGGAGUUAAAUCCAAGCAAACCUCCUCAUGCAUUUUAUGUCACAACUCCCCCUUUUUUUUGGUCUGUGUGUGUGUGUGACCAAGCCAAGUUCUUUUUUAGCUCUACCCUUUUGAAAACUGCUGGUUACAGAUAAAUUAAAAUGCCAGAGCUGAAAUUGCCCACGUUAGCCCCUAAGGGAGCCUGCACUGUCAUCUUUCAUUAGAUGCUGAUAGACCAAAAGCCCAAGGCAAAGUGAAAGCUGGUUCCUAAGAAAGGGCUGGGAGCCAGGAGCUGCAUCUCUCUGCUGUAAUCUUGCAUCUCUGUCCUUUUAAGUUUAAGCUGAGCAAUGCUUUCUUGGACAUGUCUGUUUUCAUACUGAAAAUUUCAGUCUUAAAAUCAACAGCAAAUAUGAACAGGGUAAUCCACAGAGUCCUAAAUUGUCAAGACAAGCCAGUGCAUUUUCUCAGAGCAAUCUGAUGGUUUUGUCUGGUGUCAGCCCUUACAUCCUCCAGUGCAGAUGAUUUGUUUGGACGGUUUAAUAAAGAGCUGUUUAGAAAUCUGACUGUUAUUCUUCAAAAAAAAAAAAAAAAA